UACGUAGGCAGCAAGCGUUGUUCGGAAUUACUGGGCGUAAAGAGUGUGUAGGCGGUGCUCUAAGUCUGUUGUGAAAUCUCCCGGCUUAACCGGGAGGGUGCGGCGGAAACUGGAGUGCUUGAGGGUGGGAGAGGUAAGCGGAAUUCCUGGUGUAGCGGUGAAAUGCGUAGAUAUCAGGAGGAACACCUGUGGUGUAGACAGCUUACUGGACCACUUCUGACGCUGAUGCGCGAAAGCUAGGGGAGCAAACAGG
rnacentral:rRNA from 1 species